rnacentral:rRNA from 1 species
UACGGAGGAUGCAAGCGUUAUCCGGAUUUAUUGGGUUUAAAGGGUGCGCAGGUUGUUUGAUAAGUCAGUGGUGAAAGUCUGUCGCUUAACGGUAGGAUUGCCAUUGAUACUGUUAGACUUGAAUAUGGAUGAGGUAGGAGGAAUGUGUAGUGUAGCGGUGAAAUGCAUAGAUAUUACACAGAACACCGAUUGCGAAGGCAGCUUACUAAUCCAUCAUUGACGCUGAGGCACGAAAGCGUGGGGAUCAAACAGGA